rnacentral:rRNA from 1 species
GUGGGGAAUCUUGCGCAAUGGGCGAAAGCCUGACGCAGCCAUGCCGCGUGAAUGAUGAAGGUCUUAGGAUUGUAAAAUUCUUUCACCGGGGACGAUAAUGACGGUACCCGGAGAAGAAGCCCCGGCUAACUUCGUGCCAGCAGCCGCGGUAAUACGAAGGGGGCUAGCGUUGCUCGGAAUUACUGGGCGUAAAGGGCGCGUAGGCGGAUCGUUAAGUCAGGGGUGAAAUCCCAGAGCUCAACUCUGGAACUGCCCUUGAUACUGGCGAUCUGGAGUGUGAGAGAGGUAUGUGGAACUCCGAGUGUAGAGGUGAAAUUCGUAGAUAUUCGGAAGAACACCAGUGGCGAAGGCGACAUACUGGCUCAUUACUGACGCUGAGGCGCGAAAGCGUGGGGAGCAAACAGGAUUAGAAACCCCAGUAGUCC